CCUACGGGUGGCAGCAGUGAGGAAUAUUGGUCAAUGGCCGUAAGGCUGAACCAGCCAAGUCGCGUGAAGGAUGAAUGAUCUAUGGGUUGUAAACUUCUUUUAUAUGGGAAUAAAGUUAUCCACGUGUGGAUAUUUGCAUGUACCCUAUGAAUAAGCAUCGGCUAACUCCGUGCCAGCAGCCGCGGUAAUACGGAGGAUCCGAGCGUUAUCCGGAUUUAUUGGGUUUAAAGGGUGCGUAGGUUGUUUUUUAAGUCAGUGGUGAAAGUUUGUGGCUCAACCAUAAAAUUGCCGUUGAAACUGGAAGACUUGAGUGUGUUUGAGGUAGGCGGAAUGCGUGGUGUAGCGGUGAAAUGCAUAGAUAUCACGAAGAACUCCGAUUGCGAAGGCAGCUUACUAAGCUGCAACUGACACUGAAGCACGAAAGUGUGGGUAUCAAACAGGAUUAGAUACCCCUGUAGUC
rnacentral:rRNA from 1 species